rnacentral:rRNA from 1 species
UACGUAGGGGGCAAGCGUUGUCCGGAAUCAUUGGGCGUCAAGAGCGUGUAGGCGGUUCGGUAAGUCGUCUGUGAAAGUCCAGGGCUCAACCCUGGGAUGCCGGUCGAUACUGCCGGACUAGAGUUCGGAAGAGGCGAGUGGAAUUCCCGGUGUAGCGGUGAAAUGCGCAGAUAUCGGGAGGAACACCUAUGGCGAAGGCAGCUCGCUGGGACGUUACUGACGCUGAGACGCGAAAGCGUGGGGAGCAAACAGG